UACGGAGACUGCAAGCGUUAUUCGGAUUCACUGGGCGUAAAGGGUGCGCAGGCGGCCGUGUGUGUGAGGCGUGAAAGCCCGGGGCUUAACCCCGGAAUUGCACCUCAAACUACACGGCUAGAGCAUUGGAGAGGGUAGCAGAAUUCAUGGUGUAGCAGUGAAAUGCGUAGAUAUCAUGAGGAAUACCAGAGGCGAAGGCGGCUACCUGGACAAUUGCUGACGCUCAGGCACGAAAGCGUGGGGAGCAAAAGGG
rnacentral:rRNA from 1 species